rnacentral:rRNA from 1 species
AUGACAAUUGGAAGAAAAGCAUCUCAACUUGCUGUAGCGAUCAAACCAGCGCCUGCUGCUCGAAACACUACUGCUGCUGAUGGCACUUAUGAUGGGUACAUAAGAGGAGUUUCAGAUCUUCCUGCUGCUAUUCCAAAUGAUGAAAAUCGUCCAAUCAUUCGACCUAUUGGCAAGACGCAUUGGAAGGACAUUCCUGUUGUUCGAAAGGGCAGAAGACCAUCAAGUGUAUUGACAUGCCUUCUGAAAAGUAACCAUCCCGGUAUUCUGGAUUAUGAUGGUGCGAAGCUAAGGUACAAGUAUGAAGAUGCAUACUCAGAGAAGGCAAAGCAACAUGUUCGAAGAUGUUUUGAUGAGUGGUGCAGUGAAGAGUGGAUUGCAAAAUCAAAGAAAUACCGUGUCAAUCGUUGCAGCUCAAAGUUCAAGCCUCACAAGGGUGGUUCCAACUCGAUGACUACUAUAACUCAAAAAAUGUCCGAACAAACCGGCGAAGAUGUUAACCAGAUUCAGGCUUGGGUGCAUACACAUAGAGGAUUGGACAAGAGCAAACCUUUAAUUCUCAACACACCAGAAGCAACUAAAUGUUUGGCACUUUAUGAUUGCUCUAAUGGGAAGCCACAUGGUACAUGGUCUCUCUUUAAUGGCAUUGUCAAUGACAUCGAGGUCAUUUCUGAGGUGAGAGCUACUGGUACAUCUUCAGCAGCCUUGAAGCGUCGUCGAGCUGAAGAAAUUGAAGAUGUGCGUCAAAAGGAGUCCGAGAAGACUCGAAAAGCAGAGGCUUAUGCCAACAAUGUCUUGUCAUGGGGUGUUGGCAUGUACGAGCACUGCAAUGAGAUACAAAAGUUUCUUCAGACUUUGGCAACUAAGCAAGGAGUGCCUAUUGGAGAAAUACCACCGCCGCCGGUUCCACCUCCUUUUCGUUCGCUUUCUCCUCCUGGAUCUCCACAACGAUCUACCAUCCAAAUUCUAGAAAAUAGCAAAGAAUCGCCAGCUUUAUGUGCUCAAAAAGAAACAAAUCCUAGCUCUGAACAUGUUACUACUGCAAGUGUUCCUGCUGUAGACGAUGAAGGGAUGUUUGGGGGAUUUUUUAGUCAGUCUGGAACCGGUGCACUAAGCCUAUCGCUAUUGAGCAGUCAGUUGGUUCCUUGA